AUUAAACGCUGGCGGCAUGCCUUACACAUGCAAGUCGAACGGUAACAGGUCUUCGGAUGCUGACGAGUGGCGAACGGGUGAGUAAUACAUCGGAACGUGCCUAGUAGUGGGGGAUAACUACUCGAAAGAGUGGCUAAUACCGCAUGAGAUCUACGGAUGAAAGCAGGGGAUCGCAAGACCUUGUGCUACUAGAGCGGCCGAUGGCAGAUUAGGUAGUUGGUGGGAUAAAAGCUUACCAAGCCGACGAUCUGUAGCUGGUCUGAGAGGACGAUCCGCCACACUGGGACUGAGACACGGCCCAGACUCCUACGGGAGGCAGCAGUGGGGAAUUUUGGACAAUGGGCGAAAGCCUGAUCCAGCAAUGCCGCGUGCAGGAUGAAGGCCUUCGGGUUGUAAACUGCUUUUAUACGGAACGAAAAGCCCCGGGUUAAUACCCUGGGGUCAUGACGGUACCGUAAGAAUAAGCACCGGCUAACUACGUGCCAGCCGCCGCAGUAA
rnacentral:rRNA from 1 species